GGGUAGUUUGACUGGGGCGGUCUCCUCCUAAAGAGUAACGGAGGAGCACGAAGGUUGGCUAAUCCUGGUCGGACAUCAGGAGGUUAGUGCAAUGGCAUAAGCCAGCUUGACUGCGAGCGUGACGGCGCGAGCAGGUGCGAAAGCAGGUCAUAGUGAUCCGGUGGUUCUGAAUGGAAGGGCCAUCGCUCAACGGAUAAAAGGUACUCCGGGGAUAACAGGCUGAUACCGCCCAAGAGUUCAUAUCGACGGCGGUGUUUGGCACCUCGAUGUCGGCUCAUCACAUCCUGGGGCUGAAGUAGGUCCCAAGGGUAUGGCUGUUCGCCAUUUAAAGU
rnacentral:rRNA from 1 species